UGGCUCCCAAUGUGGGGCUUGAGAACAGGGGACUUCAUGAGAGACACUUUUUGUGGGCCCAAAGUAGAAAAAAAGGAAAAGAAGAUAGAGGACCUGAUGACAUGGGAGCCUGCCAUGCCUUGCUGAACCUCGUUAAGUGAACAGCAAUUAUGGGACAGGAAAUUAGCCAGCAUGAGAUUUUUGUUGAAAGUUUAGGAAAGGCUUUAAAGAUGCAGAGAAUAAAGGAUAAAAUUAAACAAUUGUGUCCAUUAGGGCUUAAUAAAUCUU
rfam:Cavia porcellus supercont2_44 genomic scaffold, whole genome shotgun sequence.